CUUCGAAAAAAAACGUGCAAA
rnacentral:piRNA from 1 species